rnacentral:rRNA from 1 species
UGACUGCGUACCUUUUGUAUAAUGGGUCAGCGACUUAUAUUCUGUAGCAAGGUUAACCGAAUAGGGGAGCCGAAGGGAAACCGAGUCUUAACUGGGCGUUAAGUUGCAGGGUAUAGACCCGAAACCCGGUGAUCUAGCCAUGGGCAGGUUGAAGGUUGGGUAACACUAACUGGAGGACCGAACCGACUAAUGUUGAAAAAUUAGCGGAUGACUUGUGGCUGGGGGUGAAAGGCCAAUCAAACCGGGAGAUAGCUGGUUCUCCCCGAAAGCUAUUUAGGUAGCGCCUCGUGAAUUCAUCUCCGGGGGUAGAGCACUGUUUCGGCAAGGGGGUCAUCCCGACUUACCAACCCGAUGCAAACUGCGAAUACCGGAGAAUGUUAUCACGGGAGACACACGGCGGGUGCUAACGUCCGUCGUGAAGAGGGAAACAACCCAGACCGCCAGCUAAGGUCCCAAAGUCAUGGUUAAGUGGGAAACGAUGUGGGAAGGCCCAGACAGCCAGGAUGUUGGCUUAGAAGCAGCCAUCAUUUAAAGAAAGCGUAAUAGCUCACUGGUCGAGUCGGCCUGCGCGGAAGAUGUAACGGGGCUAAACCAUGCACCGAAGCUGCGGCAGCGACACUAUGUGUUGUUGGGUAGGGGAGCGUUCUGUAAGCCUGUGAAGGUGUGCUGUGAGGCAUGCUGGAGGUAUCAGAAGUGCGAAUGCUGACAUAAGUAACGAUAAAGCGGGUGAAAAGCCCGCUCGCCGGAAGACCAAGGGUUCCUGUCCAACGUUAAUCGGGGCAGGGUGAGUCGACCCCUAAGGCGAGGCCGAAAGGCGUAGUCGAUGGGAAACAGGUUAAUAUUCCUGUACUUGGUGUUACUGCGAAGGGGGGACGGAGAAGGCUAUGUUGGCCGGGCGACGGUUGUCCCGGUUUAAGCGUGUAGGCUGAUUUUCCAGGCAAAUCCGGAAAAUCAAGGCUGAGGCGUGAUGACGAGGCACUACGGUGCUGAAGCAACAAAUGCCCUGCUUCCAGGAAAAGCCUCUAAGCAUCAGGUAACAUCAAAUCGUACCCCAAACCGACACAGGUGGUCAGGUAGAGAAUACCAAGGCGCUUGAGAGAACUCGGGUGAAGGAACUAGGCAAAAUGGUGCCGUAACUUCGGGAGAAGGCACGCUGAUAUGUAGGUGAAGCGACUUGCUCGUGGAGCUGAAAUCAGUCGAAGAUACCAGCUGGCUGCAACUGUUUAUUAAAAACACAGCACUGUGCAAACACGAAAGUGGACGUAUACGGUGUGACGCCUGCCCGGUGCCGGAAGGUUAAUUGAUGGGGUUAGCGGUAACGCGAAGCUCUUGAUCGAAGCCCCGGUAAACGGCGGCCGUAACUAUAACGGUCCUAAGGUAGCGAAAUUCCUUGUCGGGUAAGUUCCGACCUGCACGAAUGGCGUAAUGAUGGCCAGGCUGUCUCCACCCGAGACUCAGUGAAAUUGAACUCGCUGUGAAGAUGCAGUGUACCCGCGGCAAGACGGAAAGACCCCGUGAACCUUUACUAUAGCUUGACACUGAACAUUGAGCCUUGAUGUGUAGGAUAGGUGGGAGGCUUUGAAGUGUGGACGCCAGUCUGCAUGGAGCCGACCUUGAAAUACCACCCUUUAAUGUUUGAUGUUCUAACGUUGGCCCGUUAUCCGGGUUGCGGACAGUGUCUGGUGGGUAGUUUGACUGGGGCGGUCUCCUCCUAAAGAGUAACGGAGGAGCACGAAGGUUGGCUAAUCCUGGUCGGACAUCAGGAGGUUAGUGCAAUGGCAUAAGCCAGCUUGACUGCGAGCGUGACGGCGCGAGCAGGUGCGAAAGCAGGUCAUAGUGAUCCGGUGGUUCUGAAUGGAAGGGCCAUCGCUCAACGGAUAAAAGGUACUCCGGGGAUAACAGGCUGAUACCGCCCAAGAGUUCAUAUCGACGGCGGUGUUUGGCACCUCGAUGUCGGCUCAUCACAUCCUGGGGCUGAAGUAGGUCCCAAGGGUAUGGCUGUUCGCCAUUUAAAGUGGUACGCGAGCUGGGUUUAGAACGUCGUGAGACAGUUCGGUCCCUAUCUGCCGUGGGCGCUGGAGAACUGAGGGGGGCUGCUCCUAGUACGAGAGGACCGGAGUGGACGCAUCACUGGUGUUCGGGUUGUCAUGCCAAUGGCACUGCCCGGUAGCUAAAUGCGGAAGAGAUAAGUGCUGAAAGCAUCUAAGCACGAAACUUGCCCCGAGAUGAGUUCUCCCUGACUCCUUGAGAGUCCUGAAGGAACGUUGAAGACGACGACGUUGAUAGGCCGGGUGUGUAAGCGCAGCGAUGCGUUGAGCUAACCGGUACUAAUGAACCGUGAGGCUUAACCU